rnacentral:misc_RNA from 1 species
GAUGAAGAACGUAGCGAAAUGCGAUAAGUAAUGUGAAUUGCAGAAUUCAGUGAAUCAUCGAAUCUUUGAACGCACAUUGCGCCCGCCAGUAUUCUGGCGGGCAUGCCUGUUCGAGCGUCAUUACAACCCUCAGGCCCCCGGGCCUGGCGUUGGGGAUCGGCGGAAGCCCCCUGUGGGCACACGCCGUCCCUCAAAUACAGUGGCGGUCCCGCCGCAGCUUCCAUUGCGUAGUAGCUAACACCUCGCAACUGGAGAGCGGCGCGGCCAUGCCGUAAAACACCCAACUUCUGAAUGUUGACCUCGAAUCAGGUAGGAAUACCCGCUGAACUUAAGCAUAUCAAAAGCGGAGGA